GACGAACGCUGGCGGCGUGCCUAAUACAUGCAAGUAGAACGCUGAAGGAGGAGCUUGCUUCUCUGGAUGAGUUGCGAACGGGUGAGUAACGCGUAGGUAACCUGCCUGGUAGCGGGGGAUAACUAUUGGAAACGAUAGCUAAUACCGCAUAAGAGUAGAUGUUGCAUGACAUUUGCUUAAAAGGUGCAAUUGCAUCACUACCAGAUGGACCUGCGUUGUAUUAGCUAGUUGGUGGGGUAACGGCUCACCAAGGCGACGAUACAUAGCCGACCUGAGAGGGUGAUCGGCCACACUGGGACUGAGACACGGCCCAGACUCCUACGGGAGGCAGCAGUAGGGAAUCUUCGGCAAGGGACGGAAGUCUGACCGAGCAACGCCGCGUGAGUGAAGAAGGUUUUCGGAUCGUAAAGCUCUGUUGUAAGAGAAGAACGAGUGUGAGAGUGGAAAGUUCUCACUGUGACGGUAUCUUACCAGAAAGGGACGGCUAACUACGUG
rnacentral:rRNA from 1 species